GAGCCCAGGCCAGGAUUCCCAGGUGUUCCCAGCUCCUGCUCAGGACAGAACACACAUCUCUCACCAUGGAGUUUGAGCUCAGCUGGGUUUUCCUUGUUGCUAUUUUAAGAGGUGUCCAGUGUGAUGUGAAGCUGGUGGUGUCUGGGGGAGGCUUGGUGAAGCCUGGGGGGUCUCUGAGACUCUCCUGUGUAGCCUCUGGAUUCACCUUCAGUAGCUACCAAAUGAGCUGGGUCCUCCAGGCUCCCGGGAAGGGCCUGGAGUGGAUUGGUGAAAUUAAGUCUGAUGGGAGUACACAGAACUAUGGCAAUUCAGUAAAAGGAUGAUUCACCAUCUCCAGAGACA